GCACUGCUGACGAGUCUCAAACAGGAGGAAACAGCGGUGCAGUGC
rnacentral:hammerhead_ribozyme from 1 species